UUCAUCGUGGGCGCCGGCUCGUCACCCAUGUACACGCUGGCCCUCAUUUACCUCGACGAGAACGUGCCUACCACCCUGUCCACCAAGUACAUAGGAUGGGCCUGACGCCUGAAAGCAACAUCUGGACCGGCGCUUGGUGGCUCGGUUAUCUGAUUGGCUCCGUUUGCUCCAUACUCGUGGCUUUUCCCACAAGCCUCCUACCCAAGGAGCUGCCAAGUCAGAUAUGGGCGAAAUUGGAGAAGAAAUGCGGCGCAACCUCCAAGAAAGGCAAGAAGGCCAAGGAUGAUUCGUCCGGCUUCAAGAGCAUCCCGGUCAACGUGAAUGCCUUGCUUCACAACGCAACGUACAUGUUUCUGUGCCUAGCUGGCACAG
rnacentral:lncRNA from 1 species